CAAUCCUGCUUGGAAGUGGAGCAGGUGCUGCACGCUGUUCUCCCCUUUGCGAUGUUGGCCCACAGCGAGAGCAGCAGGAUCACAGAGAACAGCACCAUCGCCUGGUUACUGCUGGUAAUGCGCCUCUUAUGCAGCCUACGAGAGGGAUUGUAAAAAACACACACCGCUAGUCUUGCUCACUCUUGGCUAGCGCAGACUGGCAUUUAUAGACCAUAAAAUGGCCGAAGUUAAUAGCUUGGCUUGUGUUUGGAUUUGAUUUGUGGGGGUGCAAUGAAAUGUGCUCUCAAAAUUGAACCCAGCAAACAUCCACAUAAGGAAUGCUUAGAUUACCUACCUCUCACAGAUAUGUUCUAUUAUGCACGAUGAGGAAGGAACACGGAUGAGGCCUGGCCUGACCUGACCUCCCAGUACCCUCCCUCUACAUCAGUCAGUUCAGCCGUCGACACGGAGGACAGUCCCUCUACUCGUCUAGAUCAUUGUUUUCUCAUGAAGCGGGGCUUAAUAUGUUUUGGAAAUCCUUCAUGAUUGUAAACAGAUCACAUCAUUUGGCCUGACACCAUGCCACUGCUGCCACUAAUGCCAUGCUGUUUUGGAUUGCUGCUUACGUAACACGGGUCUCAUUCCAGCUGGAGACUUGUAUAGGGAGUGGCUGAUGUGGACUUUUGUUAAAUAAAAAAUAAAAAAAGUGAAGCAUUAGAGGCCGGCGCUGUGCUCGGACGGUUUGCUUGGUUUUUUUUUCCAAAGUGGUGUUACGCAAGCAUCCCUGUGCCUGUGUGGUGAGUCUGGCUGUGACAGUAAACCUUGACAAGCCCUCUGGAUGCAUCGCUUCAACGAGGAGGAGAGAGAGAGAGACAGAGAGGGAGAAGGAGAGAGAGAGAGAGAGAAUAGGAGAAGGAGAGAGGAUGGCGUGAUAAAGAGAGGAAGGGAGGGGGAGAAAAGAAAA